UACGUAGGGACCAAGCGUUGUUCGGAUUUACUGGGCGUAAAGGGCGCGUAGGCGGCGCGGUAAGUCACUUGUGAAAUCUCUGAGCUUAACUCAGAACGGCCAAGUGAUACUGCAGUGCUAGAGUGUGGAAGGGGCAAUCGGAAUUCUUGGUGUAGCGGUGAAAUGCGUAGAUAUCAAGAGGAACACCUGAGGUGAAGACGGGUUGCUGGGCCAACACUGACGCUGACAGCGCGAAAGCUAGGGGAGCGAACGGG
rnacentral:rRNA from 1 species